rnacentral:rRNA from 1 species
GGAGCUUCCCAUACGGGUUGAAGCAUGACCGUAAGGACAUGUGGACAGUAGGGGAGUGAGAAUGUUGGCAUGAGUAGCGAGAUGUGGGUGAGAAUCCCACAGGCCGUAAACCCAAGGUUUCCAGGGGGAGGUUCGUCCGCCCUGGGUUAGUCGGGACCUAAGCUGAGGCCGAAAGGCGUAGGUGAUGGACAACAGGUUGAUAUUCCUGUACUACCGAUAACCGUUUGAGAGAAGGGAUGACACAGUAGGAUAAGCUAAGCACACUGUUGGUUAUGUGUGCCCAAGCAUUGAGGCAGUCAAAGUAGGCAAAUCCGCUUUGAUAAUGCUGGGAUGUGAUGGGGAGCGAAAUUUAGUAGCGAA